UACGAAGGGGGCUAGCGUUGCUCGGAAUCACUGGGCGUAAAGCGCACGUAGGCGGGUCUUUAAGUCAGGGGUGAAAUCCUGGAGCUCAACUCCAGAACUGCCUUUGAUACUGGGGAUCUCGAGUCCGGAAGAGGUGAGUGGAGCUCCGAGUGUAGAGGUGAAAUUCGUAGAUAUUCGGAAGAACACCAGUGGCGAAGGCGGCUCACUGGUCCGGUACUGACGCUGAGGUGCGAAAGCGUGGGGAGCAAACAGG
rnacentral:rRNA from 1 species